rnacentral:rRNA from 1 species
UACGUAGGGGGCAAGCGUUGUCCGGAAUCAUUGGGCGUAAAGCGCGCGUAGGUGGCCUCAUAAGUCCGUUGUGAAAGUCAAAGGCUCAACCUUUGAAAGCCGAUGGAUACUGUGAGACUAGAGUACGGAAGAGGCGAGUGGAAUUCCUGGUGUAGCGGUGAAAUGCGCAGAUAUCAGGAAGAACACCCGUGGCGAAGGCGGCUCUCUGGUACGUGACUGACGCUGAGACGCGAAAAGCGUGGGGAGCAAACAGG